rnacentral:rRNA from 1 species
GUGAGGAAUUUUCCGCAAUGGGCGAAAGCCUGACGGAGCAAUGCCGCGUGAAGGAUGAAGGCCUAUGGGUUGUAAACUUCUUUUCUCAGAAAAGAAUUAUGACGGUAUCUGAGGAAUAAGCAUCGGCUAACUUCGUGCCAGCAGCCGCGGUAAUACGAAGGUCCCAAGCGUUGUUCGGAAUCACUGGGCGUAAAGGGAGCGUAGGCUGCGCGGUAAGUCAGGUGUGAAAUCCCGGGGCUCAACCCCGGAACUGCACCCGAUACUGCCGUGCUAGAGGGUUGGAGAGGUGACUGGAAUUCUCGGUGUAGCAGUGAAAUGCGUGGAUAUCGAGAGGAACACUCGUGGCGAAGGCGAGUCACUGGACAACAUCUGACGCUGAGGCUCGAAGGCCAGGGGAGCAAAAGGGAUUAGAAACCCCAGUAGUCC